rnacentral:rRNA from 1 species
GCAAGGUGCAUGGCAGACGGGUGAGUAACGCGUAGGGAAUCUACCUUUUUGUGGGGAAUAACGCUCCGAAAGGAGUGGUAAUACCGCAUGAGACCGCAGACUGGGAUGUUUGUGGUGAAACCUGGGGACCGCAAGGCCUGGGGCAAGAAGAGGAUCCUGCGUCUGAUUAGCUAGUUGGCGGGGUAAUGGCCCACCAAGGCGACGAUCAGUAGCCGGCCUGAGAGGGUGAUCGGCCACACUGGAACUGAGACACGGUCCAGACUCCUACGGGAGGCAGCAGUGGGGAAUUUUGCGCAAUGGACGAGAGUCUGACGCAGCAACGCCGCGUGGGUGAUGAAGGUCUUCGGACUGUAAAACCCUGUCGUCAGGGACGAAGGUAUGGGAGUUAAUAGCUCUUAUGCUUGACGGUACCUGGAGAGGAAGCCCCGGCUAACUCUGUGCCAGCAGCCGCGGUAAUACAGAGGGGGCAAGCGUUAUUCGGAAUUAUUGGGCGUAAAGGGCGCGUAGGCGGUUGAGUAAGUCAGAUGUGUAAUCCCCGAGCUCAACUUGGGAACUGCAUCUGAGACUGGAAGGCUAGAGUACUGGAGAGGGU